rnacentral:tRNA from 1 species
GGGGGUAUAGCUCAGCUGGUAGAGCACUUGCCUUACAAGCAAGGGGUCACAGGUUCGAGUCCUGUUGUCCCCACCA